rnacentral:rRNA from 1 species
GAACGCUAGCGGCAGGCUUAACACAUGCAAGUCGAGGGCAGCAUGAGACGGAGAUUCGUCGAAGUCUUGAUGGCGACCGGCGCAAGGGUGCGUAACGCGUGAGCAACUUGCCCGUUUCUGGGGAAUAACCGGUGGAAACGCCGACUAAUACCCCAUAGUAUCAGAUUGAGGCAUCUUUAUCUGAUUAAAGAACUUCGGAAACGGAUAGGCUCGCGUGACAUUAGCUAGAUGGCGGGGUAACGGCCCACCAUGGCAACGAUGUCUAGGGGUUCUGAGAGGAAGGUCCCCCACACUGGAACUGAGACACGGUCCAGACUCCUACGGGAGGCAGCAGUGAGGAAUAUUGGUCAAUGGUCGGAAGACUGAACCAGCCAAGUAGCGUGAAGGAUGAAGGUUCUAUGGAUUGUAAACUUCUUUUAUACGGGAAUAAAACCACCUACGUGUAGGUGCUUGUAUGUACCGUAUGAAUAAGCAUCGGCUAACUCCGUG